ACACCACUAAGCUCUUUUAACAGCUUUGGGUGUAUUCCAUCAGGUCCCAUUGACUUAUUUGUCUUUACUUUUGACAGUUGAAAUAGAACCUCUUCCUCUGUAAACGCACGUGUAAUAAAUUACUCAUAUAUCCUUCUUCUUAACUGAGGUCCCUUUUCUUCAUUUUCAUCUGUAAAUACCGAACAAAAAUAUUAAUUGAGGCAGUCAGCUAG